rnacentral:rRNA from 1 species
AUUGAACGCUGGCGGCAUGCCUUACAUAUGCAAGUCGAACGGCAGCACGGGAGCAAUCCUGGUGGCGAGUGGCGAACGGGUGAGUAAUAUAUCGGAACGUGUCCAGUCGUGGGGGAUAACGUAGCGAAAGCUACGCUAAUACCGCAUACGAUCUACGGAUGAAAGCGGGGGAUCGCAAGACCUCGCGCGAUUGGAGCGGCCGAUAUCAGAUUAGGUAGUUGGUGAGGUAAAGGCUCACCAAGCCGACGAUCUGUAACUGGUCUGAGAGGAUGAUCAGUCACACUGGAACUGAGACACGGUCCAGACUCCUACGGGAGGCAGCAGUGGGGAAUAUUUGGGACAAUGGGCGAAGACCUGAU